AGUAGAAUUGCUGGGUCAUAUGGUAAAUCCAUGUUUAACAUUUUUAAGAAAGUGCCAAACUGUUUUCCAAAGUGUUGUACUAUUUUACAUUCCCACCAGCAAU
rnacentral:pre_miRNA from 1 species